rnacentral:rRNA from 1 species
AGAGUUUGAUCCUGGCUCAGGACGAACGCUGGCGGCGUGCUUAACACAUGCAAGUCGAACGAUGAAGCCCAGCUUGCUGGGUGGAUUAGUGGCGAACGGGUGAGUAACACGUGAGUAACCUGCCCUUGACUCUGGGAUAAGCACUGGAAACGGUGUCUAAUACCGGAUAUUUCAGCUGGCCGCAUGGUCUGGUUGUGGAAAGAAUUUUGGUCAAGGAUGGACUCGCGGCCUAUCAGGUUGUUGGUGAGGUAAUGGCUCACCAAGCCUACGACGGGUAGCCGGCCUGAGAGGGUGACCGGCCACACUGGGACUGAGACACGGCCCAGACUCCUACGGGAGGCAGCAGUGGGGAAUAUUGCACAAUGGGCGAAAGCCUGAUGCAGCAACGCCGCGUGAGGGACGACGGCCUUCGGGUUGUAAACCUCUUUUAGUAGGGAAGAAGCGAAA